UUGACCUCGGAUCAGGUAGGGAUACCCGCUGAACUUAAGCAUAUCAAUAAGCGGAGGAAAAGAAACCAACAGGGAUUGCCUCAGUAACGGCGAGUGAAGCGGCAACAGCUCAAAUUUGAAAUCUGGCUCUUUCAGGGUCCGAGUUGUAAUUUGUAGAAGAUGCUUUGGGUGUGGCUCCGGUCUAAGUUCCUUGGAACAGGACGUCAUAGAGGGUGAGAAUCCCGUACGUGAC
rnacentral:rRNA from 1 species